UUGAUCAUAUCUCUUGUUACAUAGGAUACUGCCUUCUUUUCCAUCACAACUUGAAAUGCUCUUUGUGAAGCUCCUUUACUUUGUAUUGCCUUUCUUCUGACCUCUCAUUCCAAAACAUUCCUAGCCCUGCAAUAGUAAUAAUAAUAAUAAAUCUAGCUGACAUGUAAAAGCAGUGAAGUUAUUCUUUUAUCACUGUUUUAGGUUCAGUAUAAGAGUGAUUUUCUGUGAUGUUAAGGAACGUACCUAUGAAGAUCUAUGCCUGAAGAAUGUGAUUCUGAAAAGUAUUGCAGAUUGAAGACUUCAGCCAUGCUUCUUGAAAGAAACUGCCAAAAUGUCAUGCAGCACCAAAACUGCAUUCUUAUAGCACACAGGUGUGCUCUGUGACAACUGCUCAUACAGCAUGGUGCAUCUCAUGGCUGCAUGAGAAGAAAGAGGCUCUAACUCUGACAUCCCUCAAAAAUCCUGCUAAAUCCCAAAACAUGCUUCCUGACACCACAUGUUGAAUCCCACCUCCCUGCAGGCAAUAAGCCCCUUGCUCUGCAAGUAGAACUGGAGACCUCUCCCUCUGACCCUCUGGAGUGCCAUCUGCAGACCAUGGGGAUGGUAAGCCUCCAGUGACAGCCUUCAGAGCACACAGGAUGGGAUCUCCUUGGCAGUUGGAUACCCCUGCUGACACCAUGCCACUGCACUCCCUGCUGUUCCUGGAGAUGAGCCAUAGGCCAUGAAACCUUACGCUGGUCUCAGCCUCUUGGCAUCCUGCUGUCUGGUGAAACUAAUGUGGAACAUAUUACACACAGUAAUUGCCAUUGCACACUUGGACACACACUGUCUGUAAGCCCACAUUCAGCAAAAGAGCAUAUAGUUUAAUCUCUUAUUUUCUCUCUUUUUUUUCUCCCAUAAACACUGAUUACAUUAUGUUACAGAAAGUGCAAACAUCUUAAUGGGUUUCAGAGUAAAACUGAUAUUUUUAGGGAAACUGGGAAUCAAAAGCCUGAUUUGCUAAAAAUGUGAUUACAUAUCCUAAAACUCUGUGAAUGCAAAUUAUUUUGCAAGUCCUUUUUCAUACUUCUUGGAUGUCGUGAAAUCAAUGAUAUAUUUAUAGCUAUGAAGUGUGGCUUGAUGGAAGCCUUAAUUGGGUUGAAAUAAAACCUGCUUUCCUUC